UCCCUGGUGGCUCAGAGGUUAAAGUGUCUGCCUCCAAUGCAGGAGGCCUGGGUUCGAUCCCUGGGUCGGGAA
rnacentral:tRNA from 1 species